AUUGAACGCUGGCGGCAGGCCUAACACAUGCAAGUCGAGCGGAGUGGCGGACGGGUGAGUAAUGCCUAGGAAUCUGCCUGGUAGUGUGGGAUAACGUCCGGAAACGGGCGCUAAUACCGCAUACUAUCAGAUGAGCCUAGGUCGGAUUAGCUAGUUGGUGGGGUAAAGGCCUACCAAGGCGACGAUCCGUAACUGGUCUGAGAGGCUGAUCAGUAACACGGGAACUGAGAAACGGUCCAGAUUCCGACGGGAGGCAGCGGUGGGGAAUAUUGGACAAUGGGCGAACGCCGGCUCCAGCCAUGCCGCGUGUGUGAAGAAGGUCUUCGGAUUGUAAAGCACGUUAAGUUGGGAGGCGUUACCAACAGAAUAAGCACCGGCUAACUUCGUGCCAGCAGCCGCGGUAAUAC
rnacentral:rRNA from 1 species